rnacentral:rRNA from 1 species
UGGCCCGGGUGCGAAAUCACCCUUUUCUUCGGAACUGCUACACAGGUGCUGCAUGGCUGUCGUCAGCUCGUGUCGUGAGAUGUUGGGUUAAGUCCCGCAACGAGCGCAACCCUUAUUGCUGGUUGCCAUCAUUUAGUUGGGGACUCUAGCGAGACUGCCAGUGACAAACUGGAGGAAGGUGGGGAUGACGUCAAAUCAUCAUGCCCCUUAUGGCCUGGGCUACAAACGUGAUACAAUGGGUGCUACAAAGGGCAGCGAAGCCGUGAGGUGGAGCGAAACCCAUAAAAGCACUCUCAGUUCGGAUUGAAGUCUGCAACUCGACUUCAUGAAGUUGGAAUCGCUAGUAAUCGCAAAUCAGAAUGUUGCGGUGAAUACGUUCUCGGGGUUUGUACACACCGCCCGUCAAACCACGAAAGUCAGCAAUACCCAAAGCCGGUGGCCUAACCGUAAGGAGGGAGCCGUUUAAGGUAGGGUUGAUGAUUGGGGUUAAGUCGUA